ACUACCUACAGAAGAAGGAUUAUACAGUAGAAGUUUACUAAAUCCCAAUACACAUUCAAUAGUAAUUUAAUACCACCUUAGUCAGGAUAGGCUGGGUUGUGCUGAGGUAACAGAUUAGUCCUGGCAUUCCUAGGGCUUCAUGCAACAAAGAUUUAUUUCUUGUUCAUGUUAUGUGUCCAUUACAAGGGCUCCACACCAGUAAACACUGAGAAGCCUGGUAGGCAAAGGCACAUUAUCUCAUAGCUGUAGCACAUGAUUUCAGGACUUUCUUUGUGCCCUCAGCAGAAAAAGAGAAUAGAUGAGCACACAUAGGCUCUUCACUGUCUCAAUCUACAAAGAACCCUUUUCAGUUUUGCUCACGCUUCACUGGCCAGAACUUGCCACAUGGCAACGUUUAACCACAAGGGGAGCUGGAAAAUAUGAGAGAGGAGGUGGGAUGUUUGCUGAGUAUUACUGUCUGUGCCACAAACUUUAUUGCAUUGCACCAAGUUUUGUACUGAGUUUUCCUAGAAAUUUACAAUUUAUGGUUGUAGGUGUGAUUUUGGCAAGAAUCAAUGCAAAAUUUAUGUUACUCUUAAUGAAUAACAUGUAUGUUACUCUCUUAAUGAAUUCUCAAAUGCACAGACUUUGAUUUGAAUCAUUUAAAUGGAACUGAACUGAUACGCAACUUGAUGUAACCUUAAGAGAAUGAUUUAAAAAUUUUUCCCUUCUCUUUCUGUGAGUAUAACAUACAUAAAAACUGCAUAAAGUAUUUAUGUUUGGUUUAAAUAAUUGUAAAGUCAACACCCAUGUAACUAUUAUACAACCAGGGACCACAACCGUUUUCACUUGCUGGAAUUUGUAUAUUUCUUUCAUAAGGCUUCUCUUCAGCACUUGCUAUUUUAUGGGUUUGUACUUUUCUUUACAUGGUGAAAUAGGAGCUGUUUUGAGAAAAGUAACUUCACAGGCAGUUUAGCAAAGUGGUUACGUUCACUGAUUCUAGAGAAAUACUGCUUGAGUUUGAAUUCUAGUUCUACCAUUUACUAGCUGUGUGAGCUCAGACAAGUUGCUUAACCUCCUCUGUGCCUCAUUUGAAAAACUGGGGAAAGAAUUCUACUUCCUUUAUAGGGUCAUUGAGGGUAUUAAAUGAUCUGAUAUAUGGAAAAAGUUCUUAGAACAUUGCCUGACACCCAGUAAAUGCUCUUAAGUGGUAAUAAUUGUUAUAAAAAUGUAUAAUUGAAAACCAUAAUUUUAUUUUAUGUGGAGGUUUUUAUAUAGAAGUGCCUUUGUUAUCAGCAUAAAGAAUUUUAGAUAAAUCUGUUAUGUUACUCAAGAGACACUAGAAUGGAAGUAAAUCAAAGCACAGAAUAGAAAAUACUGACAAUGGUAAAAACAACUAAAUAUUGACUGUAGAUUUCUAAAGGUUGAAAGCACUGCUAAAAUUUUUCUUCAAGUUUUAUUCUUCAAUACAAGACUUUUUCCUCGUUAAACUAAAAGUCUAUAUAUGCGAGGAUGAUCAAAUAUAUUGAAUUAUUUUACCUUCCUCAAGUGUAAUCUAAUAGAGUUAUAGAAUCAGAGAGCUGGCAGGGAUUGGAACAGUGGCUUUCAAAACCCUUUGACUGUGGUCUGCAGUAAUGAAUACACUUGACAUCAUGAUUCAAAACACACACGUAUGUCUACAUAUGUGUAUAUAUGUUUACACACAUAUACACAUACAAAAUGGAAAUGAAAUUCCAUGAUGUGCAUAUGACUUAUGAAAUGCAAUGCAUGCUAAUAUUUUCUACUUUGUCCUAUUCUAUUUUUUGUAUGGUUUUUAAUUUUGUUUUUUAAUGAGCUUGCUGUGACUUUCUAAACUUAUUUCUCAAAUCAGGCAUGAUCCACAGCUUUGUAGUUUGAAAAAAGAGGGAAAUGCUGGAUUAUAGAAUGCCAUAAGUCUAAUUUCCUAGAAGCAGUGCCUGAGAUUCUGACAGAAGUGGUUUAUAAAGAAUGCUCUCAGGUGCAACUUUUAAGGGGAUGAGGAAAGCAAACUAGAGAAGUGAAAGAAGCUAAGCAAGGAUAUGGCUUCAGAUGACUGUUAGCCUCAGCCUGAUCCUGCAGGAAGCUCUGGGGCAUAAGUGCUCCAAGGGCAAUCUUUGGGAGAAAGUUUCAGAGAUAAGCAGUUAGCAGCAGCACCAGCACCAGUGGGAGCUGGUAAAAGGGAUCCCCAGGGAUCUGGAUAGGGCACCAACAUAACCUAACAUACUACACACAGAAUAUUGCAUCUUCAAUUGCUCUGCCCAGUAAUUUUUGUAUCCAAGUCUUUUUGGGAACCCCUCAAAACCAGCCUCAUCAGGAAUCACUAGCCUGGCGCAUUUGUAGAUUAAGGUAAUGUGUGUGUGUUGGAGGGGGGAUGUCUUAGGAAGAAAAGUCACUUGCAUGUUAUGCAAAAAGUUAUUGACUGAAUCUGGGAGUCAUGGUAUAGGUGGAAUUUAAGAUGGCAAUAUGUUUUUAUUUUUGUUUUUUUUGAGACAGAGUCUCCUUCUGUCGCCCAGGCUGGAGUGCAGUGGCACGAUCUCAGCUCACUGCAACCUCUGCCUUCCGGGUUCAAGUGAUUCUCCUGCCUCAGCCUCCUGAGUAGCUGGGAUUACAAGUGUGUGCCAUCACACUUGGCUAAUUUUUUAUGUUUUUGGUAGAGACGGGGUUUCGCCACAUUAGCCAGGCUGGUCUCAAACUCCUGACCUCAAGUGAUCCACCCACCUCAGCCUCCCAAAGUGCUGGGAUUACAGGCAUAAGCCACUGCGCCCAGCUGGCAAUGUAUUUUUAUGUGACGAGUAACAUAUAAAUGUUUAAUUCUCAAGAUAACUCAGUGGCUUUAUUGUGUCAGCAACUAAUAAGAGCUAUAAUUUACAGAGCUCUUGUUUUGUAUAAGAAAUCUAUACUAAUCACUUUAUAGGUGUACACGUUAAGAUAGCUAUGAUUGUUACCAUUUUACAGGUGGAACACUGAGGCCUAGAAUGGUUGAGGUACUUUCCCAAGCUUACUCAGCUGACCAUGAACUACGUUAAAUCAAGUCAGCCUGAAGGCAAUCACAAUGGAAAUAUGAAUACCUCCUACAGCUUGUUUUCAAAUUCAGACACAAUUCAUAAGUAAAUUAACAGUGAAAUCAAGGUAUGCACGUGUCAUUUCCGUAUCUGCUCUUGGGUCUCUCCUUUACCUGUAUUGAAUUAAAGAUGAUCUCUGUUUCUGGGGCCUGGUUUGCCAGUUCAGACACCCAGCCAAAUUGCCCUCUCAUCUUCUCCACCAGAUAGGCGGUGUCCUCCAAGUGCUUCCGGGUCAUCUGGAGAAUCUGGCCAUACUGCUGAUUGGAUACAUUGACCAACCUGAUCGCCUCGUCUAAUUCUGUGUGCAGAGCAGGUACAUCAGGACAGUCUAGCAGAGAAGAAAGUAAUGUGGAGAAGGAAAAAGUCCAUGAAACUUGGAGCAGGGGUCCCCAACCCCUGGGCCACGGACCCAUAUCAGCCUGUAGCCUCUUAGGAACGGAGCUGUACAGCAGGAGGUGAGCGGCAGGAGGAGUCAUGAAGAAUUAUUAAUAACUAUCUUUUAGAAGAGGGAGUUGAUAAGGGAUUCAUAAGGCAAAUGAAGAUAAUUCCAAGAGCUACUUUCCUGGACCUAUUCGCUUUCAACAGAUUCAGGAACUGAGGUCCAGAAAGACCAAGGUGCCUCGCAGCUGUCAGAUCUCCCCCAAAGCUUUCUGUUUAGUUUAAGAAAAGAGCACUGAUUGAUUCCUAUUGAAGACUGUAAAUCUUAUUCAUCUGUUCAUUCAUUUGUUCAAUAAGUAUUUACUGAGUGUUUGCUAUGUGACAGACAUUACUCUAGGUGUGGGUGACCUGACAAUGAAGAUGCCAUCCCGAUCUGGGAACAACUGUGAUUUACCUAUUUACCGUGCUCCCCCUUGUGGUGCUUGCUGUACUUGGCCAAGUCCUGCUCUGGGUGGUGAGGAGCCCAGCAGCAGUGGCACCUGUCCCUGCGAGCCUCAGCCCUGCCCCUGGAGUGCCUCACGGGUCAGCACCAUGGUGCAACAGACCUUUCUUCCUGUGCCCCUGCCCAAACCUCUGGCUUCCCUGCAAGUGUGGACUUCUGAACCCCAGCCCCCUCCAUGCCGAGAUAUCGUGCAGGGGAAUGAAGUGAGUAUAGUGGAUCUGGCCAUAAGAAGACAGCCUCAGAGCUAAUGGAAAUGACCCUUUCCUGGAGUAUUAAGCCCAAAGAAUCACCUGGGCACUGACAAUCUUCCACAUCUUCUCUGCCUGGCUAGGAUUUGUCAGUUGUCCUCAUUGUAAAGUUUGGCUGCUAAGCCACGUAGCAUUUGGUAUGAUCCACGUAAGAAAACUGCCAGGGCCCCAGCUUGCCAAUAUACAUUUUGACCCAGACAGGAGUGUGUGUGUGUCCUUGGACUUUGUAGAACAAUUUUGGAAUCUUACAUCUUUUUUUUUUUUUUUUUUUUUUUUUGAGACAGAGUCUGGCUGUGUCGCCCAGGCUGGAGUGCAGUGGUGCAAUCUCAGCUCACUGCAACCUCCAUCUCCCAGGUUUAAGAGAUUCUCCUGCCUCAGCCUCCCCAGUAGCUGGGAGUACAGGUGCGUGCCACCAUGCCGGGCUAAUUUUUGUAUGUUUAGUAGAGACGGAGUUUCACCAUUUUGCCCAGGCUGAUCUCGAACUCCUGGCCUCAAGUGAUCUGCCCAGGUUGACCUCCCAAAGUGCUGGGAUUGCAGGCAUGAGCCACCUCACCUGGCUGAAUCUUACAUCUUAAAGUGGUUGUUUUUCGGCAGGGUGCAGUGGCUCACACCUGUAAUUCCAGCAUUUUGGGAGGCUGAGGCGGGUGGAUCACCUGAUGUCAGGAGUUUGAGAACAGCCUGGCCAACAUAGUAAAACCCUGUCUCUGCUAGAAAUACAAAAAUUAGCUGGUCAUGAUGGUGGGUGCCUGUAAUCCCAGCCACUUCAGAGGCUGAAGCAGGAGAAUCGCUUGAACCCAGGAGGCGGAGGUUGCAGUGAGCCAAGAUCGUGCCAUUGUCCUUUAGCCUGGGCAACAAGAGUAAGACUCUGUCUCAAAAAAAAAAAAAAAGUUGUUUCUCCAAGGCAAGUAACAAUACCUCCAGGAUUUUCUCAAUCAGUCCCAAUUUUACAUAUUCUGCUCAUUGUCCUCAUAAGCCAAAAUCCUAAUAUUCCCAAUUCCAAACUACAGUGGCUGUGUACCCUUGGGCAAAUUACUUAAUACAUAUAAGCCUUAGUCUCCUCAUUUGCAAAUAAGAAUAAUAGGAAUAACAGUAUCUACUUCUCAAGGUCUUUGCAUUAAAUGAGCUAAACAAGCAAGGCAUCUAUUAUUAUACCUAGUAUCCAUUAUCAUAGGCAAGACAUCUGUUAUUAUAACUAGUCCAGUAUAAUAACUAGUAUCUCUCAGGCUUCCUUCCAUUCACUGCCCAGAAGCAGGACAAAAAACAGUUACCAAAUCACAGGUCCCAAGUUUUGGAAGUGAAACAUUGCCAUGGAAGAAGUAGACCUCUGUCUAGUAAACAUUCCUAAGGAAUAUCCUAUCGACGCCUUCCGUUUCCUGCUAGACAUUGUACCAACUGGCAGAUUCACGCUUAUAACUCUAUUCCUAUAGAUGACAGUUUAUCAAAAGCGCUAUAUUAACCUGGCAUUGAGCCAGGCAUGGUGGCUAGUGCCUGUGAUCCCAGCUACUCGGGAAGUGAGGCAGGAGGAUCCCUUGAGCCCAGGAGUUCAAGACCAGCCUGAGCAACAUAGCAAGACCCCAUUUCAUUAAAAACACAUACAAAUAAAACCUGAUUUGGAGGUCAAGUCACUCUAACCUUCUCUAGGGUUUCCUACUUAAUAAGUUUCAGAUAGUCUCACUAAAUAUUAAUAAGGAGGGGUGGAGGAAGGGGACAGUGAGGAUGCUGGGUCACCACUGAGCAGUACUCUUGAGAAUGGGUGGGGCUCAAUACUGGGAGACUAGGGUUGCUAACACCAUAUUUGCCAAUUCAUAAUUUGUCUAAACUGACCUUUAUUCUAGGCUUUAAGUAAUUUUAGGGAGGGAUACUCAGGGUUAAACAGAUUUUUUUUUUCCGAUUAACUUUCUAAUUGAGUGCCUCAAACUUAAGAGUAUAAUUCAAUGAAUUUUUGUACAAUAAGAUUUUUAAGAAUAAACAAAAAUUCUACUAGUUGCUUGGAUUCUUCAGGGCCAGAAGUGAAAUCCACAUUUGCUUACUUGACCCACCCAAAGUGGAAUAUUCUUGUUAAAGCUGUAUACCCUGUCCUCCUUGCCAGGAGGUUCAGGGAAGUGAGAAAAGCGGAAAAUCACUGGGUCCCCCGUGCACACAUCUGCUGACUUUAUCUCAGUUCAUUCAUUACAGUGUUGGAGUAACAUGUUAAUUAACAAACAUCUCAAACCCCAGUUUUCUUAGCUAUAAAAUGAAAGUAGUGGUUUACCCAGAUGUUCAAAACAUUCCAUGUGAUAAUGUGUUUUGUGAAGAGUGUAUGAGUGCUAUCUAGUGUCUCUAUUCCCAGAUGGCCAGGCUCACAAGCCCACCAGGGAAGAUCCCAGCUGGAGGGGCUUCCACAUUUUCCUGAUGAGGAGCUAUUUUAGAUUUCCUCAAAAUCUUUUGAUUGCUGCCAAAAGGGAGAAGGGUUUGCAGCUGCUGGUCAGGCAUUCUCCUUUCCUUGCCAGAACCCUGACUGACUCAGGGCAGUAGGUGAGGCUGCAACAUCAACCAGUCCGGUGACGCUGACACACAGCUUUGGGGUCAGCCUGUCACACUACCCGGCUCCAGUUGCUUAACGGACUCCCAGAGGCCAUGAUCCUCAGAAGUAAAAAGAUGUAAGCAGCAAUCUGGAAUUCAGUGGCCCCCAACUUUAUAGAUAGAGGGAUAGAUAGAAAAUAUUAGAACUUCCACUUGUAUUUUUAAAUUAAAAAUCUGACUGGGGUGGGGGGAAUGGGGCAUUGUUUAAUAUGUAUAGACUUUCAGUUUUUGCAAGAUGAAAAUAAUUCUGGAGAUUGGUUGCACAACAGUAUGAAUGUAUUUAACACUACUGAACGUUACACUUAAAAAUGGUUAUGAUGGUAAAUUUUGUUAUAUGUAUUUUACAACUUAACAUUUUUCAAAAAAUAAAAAUAAAUUUAAAAAGUAAUUUACUCUCAACAUUAAAAUUGAAAAUAUUUUCCAAAUUAUUUUUGUUACAGUUUUAAUUUCCUCUUUGAUUUAAGGGUAAUGUUUGAAGAUAACCUUUUUUAAAAAAGUCAUUGUUUUGAGUGUGAUGUUAAUUAUUAAUGUCAUUAAACUGCAAGCUAUUCAAUGUCUAUAAUUUAGAAAUUUACUGAACUUUAUACUGUGGCAUAUGAACAAUUUUUUACAUCUUCCAAAGACAUUUGAAUAUAAUAUGUAUUCUCCAUUGAUAAAAUAUGUAAUUCAAGCUAUAGCUGUUAAAUAAAGCUAUUUGAAUUUGAAAAA